rnacentral:ncRNA from 1 species
UACCUGGUAUCCUGCCAGUAUCAUAUGCUUGUCCAAAAGAUUAAGCCAUCAUUGGAAGUAUAACUAAUUCAACUGGUAAACCUAGCAAUGCUCAUUAAAUACAUUAUAUUUUUGAUGGUACCUACUACUCGAUAUAACCGUAGAAUUCUAGAGCUCAAUACGGCUAACAACCCCGAUUUCGAAGGGAUGCAUAUUAAUAAUAAGUCACCGCGCCUUGCCUUGCUGCGAUGAUCCAUGAUAACAUCGUAUCGCAGCAUUACAGCCGGCGACCAUCAUUCAAUUUCGCCGCUAUUCAACUUUCGAUGUAGGAUAGUGCCUACCAUGGUGGGACGUGACGGAGAAUUAAGUUCGAUUCCGGGAAGCCUCCUGAAACGCUACCACUCCAAGAAGCAGCAGCGCCAAUUGACCCAAUCCUGACACGGACUAUGACGCCAAUAAAUAACAAUACCGGCUCUGAUCGAGCUGUAUUGAAUGAGUACAAUCUAAAUCCUUAACAGGAUACCAAUUAGGCCAUGUCUGGCCACAGCCCGCGGUAUAUUCCACUCCAAUAUGCGUAUAUUUAAGUUUUGCACGUUUAAAAAGCUCGUAUUUGAUCUUUGGAUGCCGGCCGGUCCGCCCCACUGUGCACCGUCGUCUCGUCCCUUUUCUGCCGCGAAUUGACACCUCCUGCCUUUUAUUGGCCGGUCUGCCUCCGCGCUCGUUACUUUAAAAAAUGAGUGCUCAAAGCAAAGCCUACCUCUGUAACAUUAGCAUGGUGAAUAAACAUAUAUGAUUUCGUCCUAUUACGUCUGCCUUUUACGGAUGGAGUAAUUAACAGCGACAGUCCGGGCGCAUAUCGUAUUCAUAGUCAAAAGUGAAAUUCUAGGAUUAUAAAGACUGAAUCAACUGCGAAACGCAUUUCCAAGGAAUGUUUUUCAUUAUUCAAGGAACAAAGUUGGGGCUCGAUAGACAUCAGUAUAUCCGUCCAGUCUCAUAACCAUAAACAUGCCGACCAGGAAUCGCCGAUUUGCUUUUAGACCCGCCGCACCAUUAUGAAAAUCAAAUCUUGGGUCCGGGGGCGAGUAUGUCGCACAGGCUGAAACUUAAAGCUUGACGGAUAGGGGCACACAGAGUGAGCCUCGCUCUAAUUUACCAACACGGGGAAACUUACAGUCCCAACAUAUAAAGCAUGACAC